UACAGAGGUCUCAAGCGUUUGUUCGGAUUCAUUGGGCGUAAAGGGGUGCGUAGGCGGCGCGGUAAGUCGGGUGUGAAAUUUCGAGGCUUAACUUCGAAACUGCAUUCGAUACUGCCGUGCUUUGAGGACUGGAGGGGGAGACUGGAAUUUACGGUGUAGCGGUGAAAUGCGUAGAUAUUGGGAGGAACACCGGGUGGCGAAGGCG
rnacentral:rRNA from 1 species